rnacentral:lncRNA from 1 species
AGCAGAGUACCAGAAAACCUUCUCCUGCCCCUUAUUCCUAACCAGCCUUCCCUGUCUCUAACUGGGCAAGUUCCUUGUGUGCUCACAUGGAUAAAGUUUUCUAGAUCAAUCAUGUUCUUUGUGAGUAUAUAGGGAUAAAAAUCUCCCAGUUAACCAAGUUUAACUAGAUGGGUUAAGACAGAGAAACUUUAAAACCCUGUGGAGUCCAGAGCAUGAAACAAUCUAUUUUAAUUGUUUGUGUUUACGAAGGAUUGUUCUGGUGCUCCAGUGCCCCAAACCGGUAAGUCACAGGACAAAGGUGUUCAUCUCAAGUUACAGCAUCGCCAAUGGUGAUCUCCCACCCAACCUGGACGUAAGGAAGCCGAGCCCAUUUCAGAUAGAACAUUUUUGAACAUCUUUGGACAAUAUACUCCUCUUUGUCUACCGCUUUUUUCACUCAUGAAAUGCUGCAGGCUGAGGUCCACACCACUGUCAUUUCUCUCUCCUGUUUUCUCUUCUGUACAUUUAUGAACAGCGGGUCACAGAAAGUCGAGACAGCCAAAUGACGAUUGAGGAGAGGAAGCAGCUCAUCACUGUGAGAGAGGAGGCCUGUAAGACGAGAGGCAGAGGAGAGGCCAACGACUCGAUCCAGUUCACUGUGGCUGGCAGGAUGGUGAAGAAAGGUUUGGCUUCACCUACUGCCAUAACCCCAGUAGCCUCACCCAUUUGCAGUAAAACAAGAGGCACCACACCCGUUUCCAAACCUCUGGAAGAUAUCAAAGCCAGACCAGAUACGCAGUUAGAAUGGGACCUGAAGCUGGACAGGCUGGAAACCUUUCUAAGAAGACUGAAUAACAAAGUUGGCGGGAUGCACGAAACGGUGCUCACUGUCACCGGCAAAUCUGUGAAGGAAGUGAUGAAGCCGGAUGAUGACGAAACCUUUGCCAAAUUUUACCGCAACGUGGAUUAUAAUAAGCUGAGAGGUCCUGUGGAGCUGGACGAGGACUUCGAUGUCAUUUUCGAUCCUUAUGCACCCAAAUUGACGUCUUCCGUGGCCGAGCACAAGUGGGCAGUUAGGCCCAAGCGCCGGGUUCAGGCCUCCAAAAACCCCCUGAAAAUGCUGGCGGCAAGAGAAGAUCUCCUUCAGGAAUACACUGAGCAGAGAUUAAACGUUGCCUUCAUGGAGUCAAAGCGGAUAAAAGUAGAAAAGAUAUCUUCCAACUCCAACUUCUCAGAAGUCACCCUGGCGGGUUUAGCCAGUAAAGAAAACUUCAGCAACGUCAGCCUGCGGAGCGUCAACCUGACGGAACAGAACUCUAACAACAGCGCCGUGCCCUACAAGAGGCUGAUGCUGUUGCAGAUUAAAGGAAGAAGACACGUGCAGACCAGGCUGGUGGAACCUCGAGCUUCGGCGCUCAACAGUGGGGACUGCUUCCUCCUGCUCUCUCCCCACUGCUGCUUCCUGUGGGUAGGAGAGUUCACAAACGUCAUAGAAAAGGCGAAGGUUGGUACCCGAAAAUAA